GGAAGGCAGGCCGCCUGAAAGCUUCCAAAAGCCCCUUUCUGACAAAUGAAAAAUGUUGGUGACUUCGAGUCACAGGCCAGGCUUUUAACAACCCUCGGCGUAUUUAUUUAACCCAGUAAAUAUGUUUAUUAGCAAGGCCGCCUCCUUUGUAGAGCAGGGGAAGGAUCCUCAGGCAUCUCCACCUCUUCAGCACCUGCGUGUCCCUGGGAGGGAGCUGCUUGCAUGAGCUUCGACUCUGGGUUCGGUUUCCGACUCUGCUGGCUGAUUGCCCUAUUAUUGGAGACAUCAAAUUCCACACAAGGAGGGAACAUGUCUUUGCUUGCCAGAGAUCAAGAUGCCUGCAGCCUCUGCUCCGUCAUUAUUUCAGGGGGGUCCCUACCAGGGCACUCAGGGAGUGAUGGAGCUUCACGCCACGGCAAAGCGACGGGGUGGUUUCCUGAGCUCACUUUCCCAUGCCUCUGCGGUGCUCAUUCUGUUCCCUGUGCCUGGAAUGCCUCUUUAUCUCCGAGUCCUGCCUACCCUUCAAGAUUCAGCUCAAGCCCCACCUUCUCCAGGAAGACUUCCCUGACCACCUGGCCCAGAGGGUUGGCCUCCUCCCCUGCAUCUGGGUGCUCACUGGGCCAGGAGCACGCAGACCUGUGA
rnacentral:lncRNA from 1 species